GUGAAAUACAUUCCAUUCCAUUCCCAAUCAGGUCAUGUUAAAAGCCUAGUGGUGAAAUACAUUCCAUUCCCAAUCAGGUCAUGUUAAAAGCCUAGUGGUGAAAUACAUUCCAUUCCCAAUCAGGUCAUGUUAAAAGCCUAGUGGUGAAAUACAUUCCAUUCCAUUCCCAAUCAGGUCAUGUUAAAAGCCUAGUGGUGAAAUACAUUCCAUUCCCAAUCAGGUCAUGUUAAAAGCCUAGUGGUGAAAUACAUUCCAUUCCAUUCCCAAUCAGGUCAUGUUAAAAGCCUAGUGGUGAAAUACAUUCCAUUCCCAAUCAGGUCAUGUUAAAAGCCUAGUGGUGAAAUACAUUCCAUUCCCAAUCAGGUCAUGUUAAAAGCCUAGUGGUGAAAUACAUUCCAUUCCCAAUCAGGUCAUGUUAAAAGCCUAGUGGUGAAAUACAUUCCAUUCCCAAUCAGGUCAUGUUAAAAGCCUAGUGGUGAAAUACAUUCCAUUCCCAAUCAGGUCAUGUUAAAAGCCUAGUGGUGAAAUACAUUCCAUUCCAUUCCCAAUCAGGUCAUGUUAAAAGCCUAGUGGUGAAAUACAUUCCAUUCCCAAUCAGGUCAUGUUAAAAGCCUAGUGGUGAAAUACAUUCCAUUCCAUUCCCAAUCAGGUCAUGUUAAAAGCCUAGUGGUGAAAUACAUUCCAUUCCCAAUCAGGUCAUGUUAAAAGCACAGUGGUGAAAUACAUUCCAUUCCAUUCCCAAUCAGGUCAUGUUAAAAGCCUAGUGGUGAAAUACAUUCCAUUCCCAAUCAGGUCAUGUUAAAAGCCUAGUGGUGAAAUACAUUCCAUUCCCAAUCAGGUCAUGUUAAAAGCCUAGUGGUGAAAUACAUUCCAUUCCCAAUCAGGUCAUGUUAAAAGCCUAGUGGUGAAAUACAUUCCAUUCCCAAUCAGGUCAUGUUAAAAGCCUAGUGGUGAAAUACAUUCCAUUCCCAAUCAGGUCAUGUUAAAAGCCUAGUGGUGAAAUACAUUCCAUUCCCAAUCAGGUCAUGUUAAAAGCCUAGUGGUGAAAUACAUUCCAUUCCCAAUCAGGUCAUGUUAAAAGCCUAGUGGUGAAAUACAUUCCAUUCCCAAUCAGGUCAUGUUAAAAGCCUAGUGGUGAAAUACAUUCCAUUCCCAAUCAGGUCAUGUUAAAAGCCUAGUGGUGAAAUACAUUCCAUUCCAUUCCCAAUCAGGUCAUGUUAAAAGCCUAGUGGUGAAAUACAUUCCAUUCCAUUCCCAAUCAGGUCAUGUUAAAAGCCUAGUGGUGAAAUACAUUCCAUUUCCAAUCAGGUCAUGUUAAAAGCCUAGUGGUGAAAUACAUUCCAUUUCCAAUCAGGUCAUGUUAAAAGCCUAGUGGUGAAAUACAUUCCAUUCCCAAUCAGGUCAUGUUAAAAGCCUAGUGGUGAAAUACAUUCCAUUCCCAAUCAGGUCAUGUUAAAAGCACAGUGGUGAAAUACAUUCCAUUCCCAAUCAGGUCAUGUUAAAAGCCUAGUGGUGAAAUACAUUCCAUUCCCAAUCAGGUCAUGUUAAAAGCCUAGUGGUGAAAUACAUUCCAUUCCCAAUCAGGUCAUGUUAAAAGCCUAGUGGUGAAAUACAUUCCAUUCCCAAUCAGGUCAUGUUAAAAGCCUAGUGGUGAAAUACAUUCCAUUCCAUUCCCAAUCAGGUCAUGUUAAAAGCCUAGUGGUGAAAUACAUUCCAUUCCAUUCCCAAUCAGGUCAUGUUAAAAGCCUAGUGGUGAAAUACAUUCCAUUCCCAAUCAGGUCAUGUUAAAAGCCUAGUGGUGAAAUACAUUCCAUUCCCAAUCAGGUCAUGUUAAAAGCCUAGUGGUGAAAUACAUUCCAUUCCAUUCCCAAUCAGGUCAUGUUAAAAGCCUAGUGGUGAAAUACAUUCCAUUCCCAAUCAGGUCAUGUUAAAAGCACAGUGGUGAAAUAGUCAUUGGGUAAUAUACCUGAUUAAGAACGAGAUGUAGUUAUGCCCCCUAGCGGCUGUACCUUGUAAACAAUGUCAAAACAGUGCAAACAAUGUAUUUCACCAGAGGGGGCGCCAAAAACAAGGACUCAAUGUUGUUCUCAUCAAUGGCACAAAUCAUUAUAGAGUGUCUGGAGAAAGAUAUGUCAUAACCACAAAAAUUAUGUAGUUUAAAAACAGAAACUAAAUACCUUCUAAAGCUUUAUGGUCAGGCUUAGUAUUGCUACACCCGCAAUAACAUCUGCUCAACAUGUGCAUGUGACCAAUAACAGUUGAUUUCAUUUGAGAUCAUUCCAGAAUAGUUCAACAGGUGUUGAAUAAAUGUACCAUUGUGCUGUCGUUGCAACUGAUCAAACAUCUGA